AGUGAACGCUGGCGGUAGGCCUAACACAUGCAAGUCGAACGGCAGCACAGUAAGAGCUUGCUCUUACGGGUGGCGAGUGGCGGACGGGUGAGGAAUACAUCGGAAUCUACUUUUUCGUGGGGGAUAACGUAGGGAAACUUACGCUAAUACCGCAUACGACCUACGGGUGAAAGCAGGGGAUCUUCGGACCUUGCGCGAUUGAAUGAGCCGAUGUCGGAUUAGCUAGUUGGCAGGGUAAAGGCCCACCAAGGCGACGAUCCGUAGCUGGUCUGAGAGGAUGAUCAGCCACACUGGAACUGAGACACGGUCCAGACUCCUACGGGAGGCAGCAGUGGGGAAUAUUGGACAAUGGGCGCAAGCCUGAUCCAGCCAUACCGCGUGGGUGAAGAAGGCCUUCGGGUUGUAAAGCCCUUUUGUUGGGAAAGAAAAGCAGCAGGUUAAUACCCCGCUGUUCUGGCGGUACCCAAAGAAUAAGCACCGGCUAACUUCGUG
rnacentral:rRNA from 1 species